UAAGCUAAAAAUAGCAGAGACACCCCCUCGUACCUUUUGUAUCAUGGUCUAGCCAGUUUAACCAAGCAAAAAGAAACUUUAAGUUUGACCCCCCGAAACUAAACGAGCUACUUCAAAACAGCCCCAAGAGCCAACCCGUCUCUGUUGCAAAAGAGUGGGAAGAUUUUCAAGUAGAGGUAAUAUGCCUACCGAGUUUAGAGAUAGCUGGUUGUUCAGGAAAAGAGUUUUAGCUCUACCUUAAGUUUUCUAAUUUUUCCUAUAACCACAUUAAACUUAAGAGCUAUUCAAAUAAGGCACAGCUUAUUUGAAACAGGAUACAACCUCACACACAGGGUAAAAGUGGACGAUUAAAACAAAGUGGGCCUAAAAGCAGCCACCUUUAAGAAAGCGUUACAGCUCUACCUUAUCCAACCUAUAAUCAUCUUAAUCCCCUCCAACCCUUCACCUCUACUGAACAAUUUUAUACCCCCUAUAAAAAAUAUUAUGCUAGAACUAGUAACAAGAACCUGCCCUUCUCCUAAAUAUAAGAAUAAGCCAAAACGGACACCCCACUGGCAAUUAACGUUAAUGAAUUUACUAUAACAACCCCGACCAGAAAAUCUUAUACUUACCAACGUUAACCUUACACCAGAAUAUAAAGGAAAGAUCAAAGAAAGAGAUGA
rnacentral:rRNA from 1 species